AUUGAACGCUGGCGGCAUGCUUUACACAUGCAAGUCGAACGGUAACAGGCCUUCGGGUGCUGACGAGUGGCGAACGGGUGAGUAAUGCAUCGGAACGUGCCCAGAGGUGGGGGAUAACGCAGCGAAAGCUGUGCUAAUACCGCAUGUGAUCUGAGGAUGAAAGCGGGGGACCAGGCAGCAAUGUUUGGCCUCGCGCCUUUGGAGCGGCCGAUGUCAGAUUAGGUAGUUGGUGGGGUAAAGGCCUACCAAGCCGACGAUCUGUAGCUGGUCUGAGAGGACGACCAGCCACACUGGGACUGAGACACGGCCCCGACUCCUACGGGAGGCAGCAGUGGGGAAUUUUUGGCAAUGGGCGCAAGCCUGAUCCAGCAAUGCCGCGUGCGGGAAGAAGGCCUUCGGGUUGUAAACCGCUUUUGUACGGAACGAAAAGGCUCUGGCUAAUACCUGGGGCUGAUGACGGUACCGUAAGAAUAAGCACCGGCUAACUACGUG
rnacentral:rRNA from 1 species